GCUUAGAGAGGGGUCAAUGUCCUAUCAGCUAGUUGGUAAGGUAAUGGCUUACCAAGGCUAAGACGGGUAGCCGGCCUGAGAGGGUGGUCGGCCACACUGGGACUGAGACACUGCCCAGACUCCUACGGGAGGCUGCAGUCGAGAAUCUUUCGCAAUGCCCGAAAGGGUGACGAAGCGACGCCGCGUGUGGGAAGAAGGCCUUCGGGUUGUAAACCACUGUCGGGAGUUAAGAAAUGUAAGGGUGUUAAUAGCAUCCUUGCUUGACUAAGGCUCCGGAGGAAGCCACGGCUAACUCUGUGCCAGCAGCCGCGGUAAUACAGAGGCGGCAAGCGUUGUUCGGAAUUAUUGGGCGUAAAGAGCACGUAGGCGACUUUGUAAGUCAGUUGUGAAAGCCUUCUGCUUAACGGAAGAACAGCAUCUGAUACUGCAAGGCUAGAGUACGGAAGGG
rnacentral:rRNA from 1 species